rnacentral:rRNA from 2 species
UGUCUUUAUGGCAAAUGUGAGAUGCAGUGUAUGGAAUGUCAAAUUUCUAGUAUGAGAAAUUAACGAUUUAAGUCCUUCUUAAAUGAGGCCAUUUACCCAAAGAGGGUGCCAGGCCCGUAUAACGUUAAUGAUUACUAGAUGACAUUUCCAAAGAGUCGUGUUGCUUGAUAGUGCAGCACUAAGUGGGUGGUAAACUCCAUCUAAAACUAAAUAUAACCAUGAGACCGAUAGUAAACAAGUACCGUGAGGGAAAGUUGAAAAGAACUCUGAAUAGAGAGUUAAAUAGUACGUGAAACUGCUUAGAGGUUAAGCCCGAUGAACCUGAAUAUCCAUUAUGGAAAAUUCAUCAUUAUGAUUUUAAUAUUUAUAAUAUUAUAAUAAUGGUGUGCAUUUUUUCCAUAUAAGGACAUUGUAAUCUAUUAACAAACAGAUUUAUUAUAAGAUCAUUGCUUUAGUUUAUUCAAAUUAUUUUGCUUGCGAUUUAACAUAGAAUAAAUGCUUUUGAUUUGAUAAAGUGUUGAUAGAUUCAUUAUAUAUAGUGCUUGAAUAUAUUUAUAUAUUCUAUAAUAGCGUAUUGAUCAAUGAUUUUUAUGUUCAUUAUAUGCACUUAUAUGAUUAACAAUGCGAAAGAUUCAGGAUACCUUCGGGACCCGUCUUGAAACACGGACCAAGGAGUCUAACAUAUUUGCAAGUUAUUGGGAAUUAAAAACCUAAUAGCGAAAUUAACAUAACUUAUAUAAUGGGAUUAGUUUUUAGGUCUAUUUAUAGUCUAUUAAUUCAAUCCCGGGGCGUUCUAUACAGUUAUGUAUAAUAGUAUUUAUAUUAUUUAUACCUCUAACUAGAGCGUACCUUGAGCAUAUAUGCUGUGACCCGAAAGAUGGUGAACUAUACUUGAUCAGGUUGAAGUCAGGGGAAACCCUGAUGGAAGACCGAAACAGUUCUGACGUGCAAAUCGAUUGUCAGAAUUGAGU